AAUGGCGGCAGGCUCGGUCUAACGCUUGUCAUAAUACAAAGAUAGCCCAUUAGAAACGAAGGCGUAACAUCAAGUACUGGUCUGUCAAGAAGUCACAACUUUAGAAACAGCUGUCCUUUUGUCUUGUCAACGUUGUAUUUAACAUGCCUGUGUAGGUAUAAUUGGAUAUUGCAAAGGUCAAGAAGACUUUUUGAUAUUUGAAGUUUUGUAUGUGCAAGAAGACUUUUUGAUAUUUGAAGUUUUGUAUGUGCAAGGCAUGAAACAUAUAUAUCUUCUGAAUAUUUUUUUCGGUGAAAACUCAUUAAUAACAGGUUAUCUCAGUCAAGGCAUUAAUGUCCGUGACACUAUUUUUAUUGGUCUUUUGUACCAGUGCACAGAACGUCUCGUUCAGAAAUGGACAUUUUUGUUUUGCGGCUACACGCAAAAGUUAAUGAUCAUAUAAUGAUGGCAAGAUCUGCAGUGGUUAUACAUGUUCAUUUCAAAUUGCAGCAAUUGAAUCAUUAAAAUCAGUUCAGCGUUUCAAUUGUUAACCAAUUUAACGAUUAUAACAUGCAUUGUGCGAAUUACAUUAAUGCUUCAUAUAAUUGUGUUCGAUAAAUACGGUAUGGCUGUCUGGUAAAUAAACUGUAAAAAAGGAUUCAGAAGCUUCAUUUAUUUUCUGACUUACUUUUAACAAUUGUAAAUUAUACUUUAGAAACAAAAUGAUAAAAGAGACGAUUUCAAGAAAUUGUUAUUUUCUACCACGUGGAAGGUGAAGUCCCUUGGGCAACAUAAUACGGUGUCAAUAUAUCAUAACUAACGUGUUUUAAAGUUAAAAAAGGUAUUAUAACAGUGCUACCAAAUAUCACAAACUAUGGAAGGCUUUUCACACACCGUCCGAACGUUCGAACAAAUAUAACACAAACCUGAA